GGUCCGAACCCACGAGCGUUGAAAAGCUCGGGGAUGACUUGUGGGUAGCGGUGAAAUUCCAAUCGAGCCCGGAGAUAGCUGGUUCUCCCCGAAAUAGCUUUAGGGCUAGCCUCAAGGUGAGAGAUACGGAGGUAGAGCACUGAAUGUCCUAGGGGGUAUUGCACCUACCGAAGACUAUCAAACUCCGAAUGCCGUCAUCUUAUACUUGGGAGUCAGACUGUGGGUGAUAAGAUUCAUAGUCGAAAGGGCAACAGCCCAGAUCGUCAGCUAAGGUCCCUAAAUGUAAGUUAAGUGGUAAAGGAUGUGGGAUUGCACAGACAACCAGGAUGUUGGCUUAGAAGCAGCCACUCAUUCAAAGAGUGCGUAAUAGCUCACUGGUCGAGUGAUCCUGCGCCGAAGAUUUCCGGGGCUAAAACUUACUACCGAAGCUACGGCAUCAGUAAUGAUGGGUAGGGGAGCUUCCCAUACGGGUUGAAGCAUGACCGUAAGGACAUGUGGACAGUAUGGGAGUGAGAAUGUUGGCAUGAGUAGCGAGAUGUGGGUGAGAAUCCCACAGGCCGUAAACCCAAGGUUUCCAGGGGAAGGUUCGUCCGCCCUGGGUUAGGCGGGACCUAAGCUGAGGCCGAAAGGCGUAGGUGAUGGACAACAGGUUGAUAUUCCUGUACUACCGAUAACCAUAAGAGAGA
rnacentral:rRNA from 1 species